AUGAGCCGACGUAACGGCCGCACCAUCUACGUGGGCAACCUCCCCGAGGACAUCCGCGAGAGAGAGAUUGAGGAUCUCUUCUACAAGUACGGUCCUAUUGUCGAUAUCGAUCUGAAAAUUCCUCCAAGGCCUCCUGUUUAUGCUUUUGUCGAGUUUGAAGACCCACGUGAUGCUGAUGAUGCAAUUUAUGGCCGUGAUGGAUACGACUUUGAUGGCUGCAAAUUGCGGGUGGAGUUAGCUCAUGGGGGAAAAGGCCCUUCUUUUGAUCGACCAAACAGCUAUACUAGUUCUGGACGUCGUGGUGCACUUAGGCGUUCUGAUUACCGCGUUAUUGUUACCGGAUUACCUUCUUCAGCAUCAUGGCAAGAUCUCAAGGAUCAUAUGCGGCGAGCUGGUGAUGUCUGUUUCUCUGAUGUUUAUCCUGAGGCUGGAGCAAUUACUGGAAUAGUUGAGUAUACCAACUACGAAGACAUGAAACAUGCGAUAAGGAAGCUUGAUGAUUCAGAGUUCCGUAAUGCAUUUUCACGCACAUAUAUCAGGGUGAGGGAGUACAAUGCUAGGGGUAGCCGCUCUUACUCGAGAAGUAGAAGCCGAAGCUGCUCUUACUCGAGAAGCAGAAGUCACAGUUAUAGCAGGAGCAGGAGUCCAAGGUCAUCAUCAAGAUCCCUAUCACCUGCCGCACCUGCGCGUGACAAGUCUGCAAGCAGGAGCCCCAUCAGGAGCAGAAGUUUACCCCGUUCUCAGUCUCCUGUGAAAUCUGAGUGA
rnacentral:rRNA from 1 species